rnacentral:rRNA from 1 species
GACGAACGCUGGCGGCGUGCUUAACACAUGCAAGUCGAACGGUAACGCGCCGCCUUUCUGUUGUUCACUAGUGGCUAACGGGUGAGUAACACGUGAGUAACCUGCCCCCUACUCUGGGAUAAUCCCUGGAAACUGGGUCUACUACUGGAUCUGACCAUCCCCUGCAUGGUGUGUUGGUGGUACGGUCUUUUGGUGGGGGAUGGACGCGCGGGUUAUCAACUUGUUGGUUGGGGUAUGGCCUCCCAAGGCGGAGGCGGGUAGGCGGCAUGAGGGGGCGACCGGCCACAAGGGGACUGAGAGACGGCGCAGACUCCUACGGGAGGCAGCAGGGGGGAAUAUUGCACAACGGGCGAAAGCGUGAGGCAGCGACGCCGCGUGAGGGAUGAAGGCCUUGGGGUGGGAAACGGAUUAAACCUGGGACGAAGCCAAAGUGACGGUACCGGGAGAAGAAGCACCGGCUAACUACGUG